rnacentral:rRNA from 1 species
GAUGAACGCUGGCGGCGUGCUUAACACAUGCAAGUCGAACGAUGAAGCUGGAGCUUGCUCUGGUGGAUUAGUGGCGAACGGGUGAGUAACACGUGAGCAACCUGCCCCUGACUCUGGGAUAACAGCCGGAAACGGCUGCUAAUACCGGAUAUGCACCAUGAACGCAUGUUCUGUGGUGGGAAAGAUUUUUCGGUUGGGGAUGGGCUCGCGGCCUAUCAGCUUGUUGGUGAGGUAAUGGCUCACCAAGGCGUCGACGGGUAGCCGGCCUGAGAGGGUGACCGGCCACACUGGGACUGAGACACGGCCCAGACUCCUACGGGAGGCGGCAGUGGGGAAUAUUGCACAAUGGGCGAAAGCCUGAUGCAGCAACGCCGCGUGAGGGAUGACGGCCUUCGGGUUGUAAACCUCUUUUAGCAGGGAAGAAGCGAGUGUGACGGUACCUGCAGAAAAAGCGCCGGCUAACUACGUG